CCUACGGGUGGCAGCAGUGGGGAAUAUUGGACAAUGGGGGAAACCCUGAUCGAGCGACGCCGCGUGAGUGAAGAAGUAUUUCGGUACGUAAAGCUCUAUCAGCAGGAAAGAAAAUGACGGUACCUGACUAAGCAGCCCCGGCUAACUACGUGCCAGCAGCUGCGGUAAUACGUAGGGGGCACACGUUAUCCGGUUUUACUGGGUGUAAAGGGAGCCGAGACGGCAGCGCAAGUCUGGAGGGAAAUGCCGGGGCCCAAACCCGGAACUGCUCUGGAAACUGUGAAGCUGGAGUGCAGGAGAGGUAAGCGGAAUUCCAGGUGUAGCGGUGAAAGGCGUAGAGAUCAGGAGGAACACCAGCGGCGAAGGCGGCUUACUGGACUGUAACUGACGUUGAGGCUCGAAGGCGUGGGGAGCAAACAGGAUUAGAUACCCCUGUAGUC
rnacentral:rRNA from 1 species